GGUUGGAUCCUGCCGGAGGUCACUGCUAUUGGGAUUCGAUUAAGCCAUGCGAGUCGAGAGGGUUCGGCCCUCGGCUGACGGCUCAGUAACACGUGGAUAAUCUGCCCUUAGGUGGAGGAUACCCUCGGGAAACUGAGAAUAAUACUCCAUAGGUCUAGGAUGCUGGAAUGCACUUAGACUGAAAAUUCCGGUGCCUAAGGAUGAGUCUGCGGACUAUCAGGUUGUAGUCAGGGUAAAGACCUGACUAGCCUAUGACGGAUACGGGUUGUGAGAGCAAUAACCCGGAGAUGAUAUCUGAGACACGAUAUCAGGCCCUACGGGGCGCAGCAGGCGCGAAAACUUCACAAUGUGCGAAAGCACGAUGAGGGAAUCCCAAGUGCUUGCACGUAAGUGCAAGCUGUUUCUAUGUCUAAAACACAUAGAGAGUAAGGGCUGGGUAAGACGGGUGCCAGCCGCCGCGGUAAUACCUGCAGCUCAAGUGGUGGCCGCUAUUAUUGGGCCUAAAACGUCCGUAGCCGGUUUAAUAAAUGCCUGGGUAAAUUGUAUAGCUUAACUAUACGAAUUCCGGGUAGACUGAUAAACUUGAGACCGGGGGAAGUUAGAGGUACUCCUGGGGUAGAGGUGAAAUUCUGUAAUCCUAGGGGGACCACCGGUGGCGAAGGCGUCUGACUAAAACGGGUCUGACGGUGAGGGACGAAGCCCUGGGGCGCAAACGGGAUUAGAUACCCCGGUAGUCCAGGGUGUAAACGCUGCUUGCUUGAUGUUAGUCGGGCUUCGAGCCCGAUUAGUGUCGGAGAGAAGUUGUUAAGCAAGCUGCCUGGGAAGUACGGCCGCAAGACUGAAACUUAAAGGAAUUGGCGGGGGAGCACAGCAACGGGUGGAGCGUGCGGUUUAAUUGGAUUCAACGCCGGG
rnacentral:rRNA from 1 species